GACGAACGCUGGCGGCGUGCUUAACACAUGCAAGUCGAACGGAAAGGCCCUGCUUUUGUGGGGUGCUCGAGUGGCGAACGGGUGAGUAACACGUGAGAAACCUGCCCUUGACUUUGGGGUAACUUCAGGAAACUGGGGCUAAUACCGGAUAGGAGCUCCUGCUGCAUGGUGGGGGUUGGAAAGUUUCGGCGGUUGGGGAUGGACUCGCGGCUUAUCAGCUUGUUGGUGGGGUAGUGGCUUACCAAGGCUUUGACGGGUAGCCGGCCUGAGAGGGUGACCGGCCACAUUGGGACUGAGAUACGGCCCAGACUCCUACGGGAGGCAGCAGUGGGGAAUAUUGCACAAUGGGCGGAAGCCUGAUGCAGCAACGCCGCGUGCGGGAUGACGGCCUUCGGGUUGUAAACCGCUUUCGCCUGUGACGAAGCGUGAGUGACGGUAAUGGGUAAAGAAGCACCGGCUAACUACGUG
rnacentral:rRNA from 1 species